GAAAUGCGAUAAGUAAUGUGAAUUGCAGAAUUCAGUGAAUCAUCGAAUUUUUGAACGCACCUUGCGCUCCUUGGUAUUCUGAGGAGCAUGCCUGUUUGAGUGUCAUUAAAUUCUCAACCUCAUCAGUUUUGUUAUGAGACUAUGUGAGGCUUGGAUGGUGGGGGUUUUGUGCAGGCUACCUUGGUGUGGGGUCUGCUCUCCUAAAAUGCAUUAGCAAGUUUCAACUGAGCUUUGUCUACUGGUGUGAUAAUUAUCUGCGCCACACAUAAAUAGGGCUCUAGACUUGCUUCUAACUGUCUGCAAAGACUUUUGACAAUUUGACCUCAAAUCAGGUAGGACUACCCGCUGAACUUAA
rnacentral:rRNA from 1 species